AGUGAACGCUGGCGGUAGGCCUAACACAUGCAAGUCGAACGGCAGCACAGUAAGAGCUUGCUCUUGCGGGCGGCGAGUGGCGGACGGGUGAGGAAUACAUCGGAAUCUACUUUUUCGUGGGGGAUAACGUAGGGAAACUUACGCUAAUACCGCAUACGACCUACGGGUGAAAGCAGGGGAUCUUCGGACCUUGCGCGAUUGAAUGAGCCGAUGUCGGAUUAGCUAGUUGGCGGGGUAAAGGCCCACCAAGGCGACGAUCCGUAGCUGGUCUGAGAGGAUGAUCAGCCACACUGGAACUGAGACACGGUCCAGACUCCUACGGGAGGCAGCAGUGGGGAAUAUUGGACAAUGGGCGCAAGCCUGAUCCAGCCAUACCGCGUGGGUGAAGAAGGCCUUCGGGUUGUAAAGCCCUUUUGUUGGGAAAGAAAAGCAGCAGGUUAAUACCCCGCUGUUCUGACGGUACCCAAAGAAUAAGCACCGGCUAACUUCGUG
rnacentral:rRNA from 1 species